rnacentral:rRNA from 1 species
AUGAUUUAUCUUCUGUUUAUUUGGGUUAAAUAUCGUAGUAAUUUGCUCAUAUUUUCAACAAUCCAAAAACCUGAUUAUAGGCAAUUUUCUCCGAGUGGUUUUGCUGCGCAUCUGAAGACGCCUACCUUUAAGGGGGUGCAAUAUAAGAGGUGGCGCACGAGAGCAGUCUACUGGUUUCAGACCAUGUGCUACUAUGACGCCACUAAGGGCAAGCCUGAGGGCGAUCUUAAUCCUGCACAACAAGAAGCUUUUGAGAAGAUCGAUACCCUCUUUAAAGGCGCCCUUCUGAGUGUUCUUCAUGAUUCCAUUCUGGAUUCGUAUAUAUCGUUUGACAACAGCAAGGACAUGUGGGCUGCGCUCGAGGCCAAGUUUGGGGCCUCGGACGCCGGCAUCGAGUUGUACGUCAUGGAGCAAUUCUAUGACUACAAGAUGACUGAUGAGCGCUCUGUUGUACAACAGGCUCAUGAGAUACAGUCACUCGCAAAGGAACUUGAGUACUUCAAGUGUGUGUUGCCGGACAAAUUUGUUGCCGGAGGCAUCAUCGCCAAGCUUCCACCUUCAUGGAACAAUUUUGCUACUUCCCUGAAACACAAGAGACAAGAGUUUUCCGUUGCGGAUCUCAUUGAUACUCUUGAUGUUGAAGAGAAGGCGAGAGCAAAGGACACACGUGCUCGAGUUGCCGAGGGAGCUUCUAGUGCCCACAUGGUACAGAAGAAGAACUUCCAGCCCAACAAGUUCAAAAACAAUAAGAACAAAACUGAGGGCAAAGGCAAGUUUGAUACAAAGAACAAGCCGUCACAUUCUACCAACUUCAAGAAGAAUUAUCAUAAGAAGGGGAAGGGACUUUGCCAUGUCUGCGGUGAUCCUAAUCACUGGUCUCCGAAGUGUCCUAACCACUUUGAGGAGCGCAAACAUGAGAAGAGCGGCAAGUCCGCUAAUGUUGUAAUCGGUGAUACUGAUAUGAAGGAAUCUGGGUCACAGGGACUUCUCCCGUGCUGA